CUUGCCCUAGACGCACAAGGCUCUACCAGCUCGUCCGAUGCAUCCUCACGGUGUCUUCCUCAUCCAUGUCACGCCCCUCUACCACGUCCUCCUGCCUCCACCGGACACUUCCGCUUCGACGCUUCCACUCGCCGAUUUCUAUCCAGGUAUGUGAGGCGGCAGUUUCCUAAUAAUUAGAGAAGGUUGCGAUCCUAUUCAUCCUCUCUGUGAUCCCCUGCUUCCAACCAAUGAAUCUCUUCGGCAUAAAGUUCUGAUCAGGCUGCAGUCGGAAUCAUCCUUUUGUAGUCCUCCACCGGGCACUUCCGCCUCGACGCUUCCACUCGCCGAUUUCUAUCCAGUCCAGUCAACUAAAUUGAUGCUGUGGAAGUGGAGGUGAGGGCUGUGGUGUACACAUAUGGAGAGGAUAACAAAUAAUUGCUCUUAUAGAAUCCCUCUUUCAGAUACUCGACUGUACUAAAGAGGAGGGACAGAAAUAGAGGCAGCCUAAACUCCUGGACAAAACGGCCGCUCACAUGGAAGAUCGGGCAAGUAUUACUUUUGAUCUGAUUUCGGUAAGUGCAUGCUGACCCAUACUACUAAGCUGAUAACUGACAAGUGAAAAUUAGUAGAUUCACUUCAUCUGAUCCGAGAAAAGUCACGUUCUUUGUGUAUAGCAGACAAGCUUUCAUCUGUAAAAUAUUAUUUCUGCGGUAAGUCACUUGGCAGUUGGGACCACUUUGUUAUUAGUCGGCUGUCUUACAAAACAAUAGCACCAAGAUUGUGAUAUGUUUGUAGCUAAUUUCAUGUAGUUUGUUUUAAAAAAAUGUAUGUCUUCCUAUCAUAUCUUGCCAUUUGCGGAACACUUGGAUUCCUGAAUUACAAGUGUGUAUGAAAGCUAUGAUUGAUUUCUCUCGCAGAAUAAAUAGUUUAAGGAUUACAAAUAAGAACCAUUUAUGGAUGUAGUUUUCCAGAUCUGCUAACUCACCCCUUUCCUUUGAUAAAGUUGUUAAUUGCUGUUAUUAACUGAUACAUGAAGAACUGAGGACAUAACUCGAACCUCAUUUAUGUCAGAAGCAUACACACGGUUCAUGCAAGUAAACUAUGUUUGUCAAUUCCUUUUUUCAGGAUUACCUCAUGCUAUUGGAACUAUAGUUCUUGAUCUAUUCGCAACUCAAUAUUGUACAUCACCAAGAUAUUGCUACUGAAAACUUAGUAGUAAAUCACUAAGAUAGUAAAUGAUAAUGAGGAAGAACCAUAGAAGUACUCGCCAUGCAUGUCCUUAAUUAGGUGGUACAUGAUGAACAUAUGUUGGUUCACUUGCAUGUUAACAUGUGUGGUCUAUUUAGAUAGAAAUCACUCAAGUAGCUUUAUGUGGCAACAUAAUAAUGUUCAGUUAGGAAAAUGAUAGUAUUUUUAUGAUUUAUUCUUAUUUGAGAUGACCAAGCGCACAUGCUUCUAGGGUACCACUAUUGUUACGUUUUCUUUGUUUAUUGUUGAAUCUGAAGGAAAGAGACUUCAGAUAGAGGGUUGUUUUGGGCUCAAAAUUUUCAGAUAAAAUGUUACUCGCCAAGAUUUUUAGCCACAAGGAAAACAUUUAAUCAUUACAAAAUUUCUUCCUACACAUGCUUUGGUGUUAUGACUAUUACUUCCUUUUAUUUUUUGCAACACCGAUUAAAUGGUAGGAGCUCCUUCACUACUUACAUGUACACAGUUAGAUAAUUAAGACUGAAUUACUGACGACAUAACCAUCGCCUUAGCUAGCAAUAUGGUGAUAUUAAUCUCCUAAUCUACAUAAUUUGAAGAAGUAUACCGAUAAGUAGAUCUUGCGAUUUUGUAUCAUGGUAAAGUAAAUUCAGUAACAAAACACACACUUUGAUGUUUUGUGCUUGCUCUAAAUUUCCUUUCAACUGUACCACUUUGUAUGUUUAUUUUCCCCACUUUCUACUAUGUAUGCAAGAUGAUACUUUAUUUUGUAUGUUGUCUUUCCUUACCAGCCAAAUAAAGUUUGAAUCAUUUUUAUUGCUUCGGUAGAUUAUAUGACUCUCACCAAGUUUCCUUUGAAAAUUUCUGGUGAUUUAUUUUCCAAUUGCUUAUUUCUCAAUUGCAAGGAGCACAACGACUAUGAUCUUCUUCGGCCUGCCUCAAGGUUGCCGGCGGCCGCGCCGCCACUAUCCAGAAUUAAGGUGCAGUUGAUUGGUAUUUUAGUAUUUCUUUUUUGCCGACCUUUAUUAGCCUAAUAGUCAUGUUUGCUUGUGGACCAUAUGGUGUUUUAUUACUCUGCUACAGUUAGGUUCUUAGGUCAUACAUGAAUUAAAGUGCUGGCUCUGACGAACUAAAAUACCACAUGGAAACUAUAGUCAUACUGACAGUAUGCAAUGGCUAGAUGUCGGGAAUGAUAAACUAUGAUAAUGGGGAUAAUAAACCUUGAUAGGGUGCCAAAGCAAGUUUUUGAUAUAUAUGAAGUGUUAUAUUUUUUGUUCAGUGGUUUGGUUCCAGGCGAAUUAACUAAUUAGAAAAAAAUGUGCAUUGGAAUGCCUCACGUCUGUUUUGUAAGACCACCAUCCACUGAUUUAUUUUUAAAAAUUGUUAUUUUUGCAUCAAAAUCAAUAUUUUUCAUUCAUGCUUUUGGUGUACUAUAGGAUUGCAAAUACGAGAGGUUAGAUGCUCAUUUAGAUCUUUAUCAUGAGAUGUAUCAUACCGAGGAGAUUUUGUCCUAACAUGAACUUUCUCUCCAUGUGCUAGAGUUACAAGGAUGUUCCUUCAUUUUAACAUUUCCGUGUGAUCUAUAAUCAUAUCUUUCAUGCAGAUUCAGAUUCAUGUAUUACUACAGCUCCCACUAGCAUUUGCCCGAGAUUAACAAGUUUAAGAGUGUAGCUUAUUUGAUUUCACCUACUUUACAAAGUACUCUUCUCCUACUCAUAUGGGCCUAAAGAUGCACUGGAUUUACAAUAAACAUUCUUAUAAUUUACAAAUUCACUUUCAUGAAUAAUAUAAACGGUUUGAUACAGUAAACGUCAUAAUGUACGAGUAUGUUUUAUUUUCUGAUGACAUGUGUAUGUGUUGGUUCCUGGUCAUUUUUCAUAGAU